GGUCCAUGACCAACAACAAAAAGGGUAGUCCUAUACAUGCCAUUUCAAAGUUCAACCAAAAGUGUACCAAAAAGGGGCUUUGAUAGUGUGGGAGACUUCGACUUCAAUAAUCCCGAGUCCGAUAGCUGACGAACCCAAAAUCUAUAAAACAGAGAAUCAAAGAAACGGAGUAAGCAUUUAAUGCUUAGUAAGUUUGAGCCAUGAAAUUAGACACUACCAAAGUAUAGCAAUCAUAUGGCUAAACGGAUAAUCUCAUAUGCACAAAUUCUCAAUAUCAUACUUACUUCACAUUACCAAUCCUUAUAUUCAUACACAAAAGAUCAACUUAGCCAAGGCCGGAAGCUCAUUAAUUUACUGAGCGAAUAUUAUUUAAACGGAAUCACCACCCUAAUGCAUAUACGAAACGUACCUCAUCGUUGGGUUUUACGAGCGUAUC
rnacentral:lncRNA from 1 species